rnacentral:rRNA from 1 species
GAAUAAGGGCGCACGGUGGAUGCCUUGGCACUAGGAGCCGAUGAAGGACGGGACUAACACCGAUAUGCUUUGGGGAGCUGUAAGUAAGCUAUGAUCCAGAGAUUUCCGAAUGGGGGAACCCAAUAUCUUUUAUAGGAUAUUACUUUUCAGUGAAUACAUAGCUGAUUAGAGGUAGACGCAGAGAACUGAAACAUCUUAGUACCUGCAGGAAGAGAAAGAAAAUUCGAUUCCCUGAGUAGCGGCGAGCGAAACGGGAAGAGCCCAAACCAACAAGCUUGCUUGUUGGGGUUGUAGGACUCCGAUAUGGUAGUCUGUUAGUAUAGUUGAAGGAUUUGGAAAAUUCCGCUAAAGAGGGUGAAAGCCCCGUAGACGAAAUGCUAACAACACCUAGGAGGAUCCUGAGUACGGCGGAACACGAGAAAUUCCGUCGGAAUCCGCGGGGACCAUCCCGCAAGGCUAAAUACUCCCUAGUGACCGAUAGUGAACCAGUACCGUGAGGGAAAGGUGAAAAGCACCCCGGAAGGGGAGUGAAAUAGAUCCUGAAACCGUGUGCCUACAACAAGUCAAAGCUCGUUAAUGAGUGAUGGCGUGCCUUUUGUAGAAUGAACCGGCGAGUUACGAUUGCAUGCGAGGUUAAGUCGAAGAGACGGAGCCGCAGCGAAAGCGAGUCUGAAUAGGGCGAAUGAGUAUGUAGUCGUAGACCCGAAACCAUGUGAUCUACCCAUGUCCAGGUUGAAGGUGCGGUAAAACGCACUGGAGGACCGAACCCACGUACGUUGAAAAGUGCGGGGAUGAGGUGUGGGUAGCGGAGAAAUUCCAAACGAACUUGGAGAUAGCUGGUUCUCUCCGAAAUAGCUUUAGGGCUAGCCUCGGAAUUGAGAAUGAUGGAGGUAGAGCACUGUUUGGACUAGGGGCCCAUCUCGGGUUACCGAAUUCAGAUAAACUCCGAAUGCCAUUCAUUUAUAUCCGGGAGUCAGACUGCGAGUGAUAAGAUCCGUAGUCGAAAGGGAAACAGCCCAGACCACCAGCUAAGGUCCCAAAAUAUAUGUUAAGUGGAAAAGGAUGUGGGGUUGCACAGACAACUAGGAUGUUGGCUUAGAAGCAGCCACCAUUUAAAG